rnacentral:rRNA from 1 species
UACGUAGGGGGCAAGCGUUGUCCGGAUUUAUUGGGCGUAAAGAGCGUGUAGGCGGCCAGGUAGGUCUGCUGUGAAAACUCGAGGCUCAACCUCGAGACGUCGGCGGAAACCAUCUGGCUGGAGUCCGGAAGAGGAGAGUGGAAUUCCUGGUGUAGCGGUGAAAUGCGCAGAUAUCAGGAAGAACACCCGUGGCGAAGGCGGCUCUCUGGGACGGUACUGACGCUGAGACGCGAAAGCGUGGGGAGCGAACAGG